rnacentral:rRNA from 1 species
UACAGAGGGUGCGAGCGUUGUUCGGAAUUAUUGGGCGUAAAGGGCGCGUAGGCGGCGCGGUAUGUCACCUGUGAAAUCUCCUGGCUCAACUGGGAGCUUGCAGGCGAAACUGCCGUGCUGGAGUGUGGGAGAGGUGCGUGGAAUUCCCGGUGUAGCGGUGAAAUGCGUAGAUAUCGUCUGGAGCGCCGAAGGUGAAAACAGCUCGCUGGGGCUGCGCUGACGCUGAGACACGAAAGCCAGGGGAGCGAACGGG